AAUGAGGGUUGCAGGGGUUCCAAGGCGGACCUGGGGAGCAGAAACCCCUGUUUAGGGUGAACCGUGGCGGGCGCCGAUGGCCUCUUGGAAGAGGACAGACUAGCAGCUGCGAGGGAGAUGGGACUGGGUUUCACCCCUGAAAGGGCCCCUGGAGACAGCGGGAGGGCUGCUGAACGCCGGAGCCUUACAACUGUUAAACUCAGGCAGAGCUCGGGAAAUGCUGCCCGGAUGGGUGACUGAUGGAGAGGGGCUACCACUCUUCCAGCUAAACUCUGCUCUGGUUGGGACCCAGCAAUUAUUUUCCAUAGCGAAGUGUUAAUAAAAUAUCUGUUACUCCCAACACAACCUCCUGGGGGAAGGGACCUGUCUGUCUGCUUCAACUUUGGAUCCUCAGUGCCCACAUCAGGAUACCUGGCCUGAGAGCAUCCGGUGACCCAGUUUUAGGUCUCAAGGUCACUGCCAAGAAAGAGAAGCUGCUAAAGUGACACGUCUGUGCACCCACAUGACUUAACACAAAAGUUAACAGGAGCUCUUCAAAAACAAGCCUCUCAAGUGUCUGUCUCCUGUUUUCCCUGAGGACAGCAUCAGUGGCAUCAGAUAGGGGUUGGGGCUGGGUGACCUGCUGGUCCUCAGCCAUCACUGUGGCCCAGAGGUCAUUUAAGCAGCUCUCUGCUUAGCAGACAGGCAGAGGGAAUAGAUGGAAGGUACAGGUAAACACUGCACGUGGCCACCGCGAGGACACCCCGGAGCCUGGGAAACAGACAGGGACAUCGUAAAACCAACACAUAAUGGACCAGUGCAGAGACAGGCAGAACCAGUCAGAAGAAAUAGGAUGGUGCCUAGCCCAGGGACAACUGACUUAAGAGAGGGUCCUGCCGGAUACCCUGGAGGAAGGAAUGCUGCACAGAGGCCGAGAGGAAUUUGAACAGACUGGCCUUGCUGGGUUUUUAUCUCUUUUUGUCCAAUCCCAUUUUGACACAGUUGUCCAUGCUCCAAUCAUGCUUAUCCAAUGAAGUUUCCAUAACAGGCCUGAGAGGACAGGGUUCAGGAGCUUCCGGACAGCUGAGCAGGUGGAGGUUCCUGGAGGGUGGUGUGCCAGGGAGGGUGUGGAAGCUCUGCCCCUUCCCCCAUACCUUGUCCUAUGCAUUGCUUUAUCUGCAUCCUUCAUUUUAUUUUAUUUUUUUUGAGACGGAGUCUUGCUCUUGUCGUCCAGGCUGGAAUGCAGUGGUGCGCGAUCUUGGCGCACUGCAACCUCCGCCUCCCGAGUUCAAGAGAUUCUCUUGCCUGAGCCUCCCGAGUAGCUGGGAUUACAGGCACCCGCCACCAUCCCUGGCUAAUUUUUGUAUUUUUAGUAGAGAUGGGGUUUCACCAUGUUGGCCAGGUUAGUCUUGAACUCCUGACCUCAGGUGAUCCACCCACCUCAGCCUCCCAAAGCGCUGAGAUUACAGGCGUGAGCCACAGUGCCUGGCCUGUAUCCUUUAUAAUAUCGUUUAUAAACAACCAAUCAGUAAAUGUGUUACUCUGACUUCUGUGAGCUGCUCUAGCAAAUUAAUCAAAUCCGCAGAAGGGUCAUGGGAACCCCAACUUGAAGCCUGUCCGUCAGAAGUUCCAGAGUCCUGGACUUGUGACUGGUGUCUGAAGUGGGCAAGUCUUGGGGACUGAGCUCCUAGCCUGUGGGAUCUGAUGCUAUCUCCACAUAGAUAGCAAUGGAAUUGAAUUGGCGGGCACCUGGCUGGUGUCUGCUGCAGAGCUCAUUGCUUGCUUAGUGGUGGAGAGAAGUCUCCCUCCACAUGUGGUCACAGCAUCUUCUGUCUGUGUUGAUUGCUUUUGAUGUUGAUUGAGAGAACAGGAAAAAGCACAUUGAAUGUCUCAAUGAUGAAGAUGACAAUAAUCUGGCUUCUAGGUUGUUAUGUGGCAGGCAACAGCUGUGCAGAUCCUAAUAAUCUACUCUGGGUGACAGUUUAACACAGGGGUUGGCAAAUGUGGCCCACUUCCUAUUUUUAUAAAUAAAGUUUUAUUGAAACAUG